AUCCAGCUGACGAGUCCGAAAUAGGACAAAACGUGCGCCCCGGAU
rfam:Schistosoma rodhaini strain Burundi genome assembly, scaffold: SROB_scaffold0008744